rnacentral:rRNA from 2 species
UGGGGAAUAUUGUGCAAUGGGGGAAACCCUGACACAGCAACGCCGCGUGAAGGAUGAAGGUUUUCGGAUCGUAAACUUCUUUAGUCGGGGACGAAUAAAUGACGGUACCCGAAGAAUAAGCCACGGCUAACUACGUGCCAGCAGCCGCGGUAAUACGUAGGUGGCAAGCGUUGUCCGGAUUUACUGGGUGUAAAGGGCGUGUAGGCGGGAUGUUAAGUCAGAUGUGAAAGCCCAAGGCUCAACUUUGGGACUGCAUCUGAAACUGAUAUUCUUGAGUGCUGGAGAGGAAAGCGGAAUUCCUAGUGUAGCGGUGAAAUGCGUAGAUAUUAGGAGGAACACCAGUGGCGAAGGCGGCUUUCUGGACAGUAACUGACGCUGAGGCGCGAAAGCGUGGGGAGCAAACAGG